UUACUCUUCACUCAUACAUCUAACUCCAUUUUAGGAGCACAAUACGAUAGGAGAUUUUAUUUUUUUAAGAAAUUGGCAAUUAUUUGGCAAAGUCAUAUUACCAGCACUACAAAAGAGGCCAUAGGCCAGUAUGAAUGGCCAUGCACAGGGUGGAGGCAGAAAAGCACACACACCCCCAGUAAUUCUACCCUCUGUCUCCUUACUUCUUCCCUCCCUUCACGUUACGUGACACAGUAUCUCUUCAUUAGCGAGCAUGUACGAAAGGAUGACUACCGAAAUUCAACAGAAAGGAUUUUUGUUCUCUGCAUCUACAGGUUUUAUUUCUACUCACACUUCCACAUUUGAAGAAUAUUAAGUUAGAAGACAUUAUUUUCAUCUUCUUUUGUCUGAGUCAUGGAACAUGUACAUUUUUAUAUUAUUCGAAGGUGACCAAUGUGUAGUUUCAUAUUUUCAAUGUUUGAGUACCAUACUACUUGCUAACUGUUUGUGUACUGAGCAAAUAUAAUAACUAUCUGGGCCUCAGUUUUCUUACAUGUAAAAGAGGACUGUUGUUAGGAUUAAAAGAUAUAUAAACAAGACAUAAAACACUGUAAACAUGCUUAGAACAGAGGUGGGCACAAGUAAAACACUUAGUAUAUGUGAACUAUUCUUAAAUAAGCAAACAAAAUCACCAUCUUUAUUUAAUAUUUUCUAAAACUAUUUGUGGACUUAUUAGUGAUUCCUGUUAGCA
rnacentral:lncRNA from 1 species